CAAAAUCGGUCGCGCUGCACAUGCGUCAUUUUUGACCUAGCGCCUUGACGUGACAUCCGAGCAGAGCAGAGCAGGGCAGUGUACAGGGAAGCAUAAAGUGCCUUAGACAGAAUCAGUGUCACCAACUACACAGGAAAGUAUGAGCAAGAUGGACAAAAGCAGUUCCUCUGGAUGUACACAGGAGGAAAACGUCCUUCAACUGGAAAGACAUGGUCAUGUUCCUUGAGGGAGAGGACUGCUAGCAUUGAAAGUACGAUGUUUGGUGGGACAGUGGCCAACUCCGGAUCCCAGAGACAUAGCCAAGUAUGUGCAGGAUACGGAGGACAUGACAGUAGACAAACGAUCAGCAUACACAUUCAUUCAUAUCUACCUUCUCCCUUUGAAAUGUAUUGGAAGCCAUGUAAACACGUCUAAACAGUGAUUUCAUAGUGGCAGGUUAUUGUUGUUCAGUGUGUUAUGCAUGUAUGCACUUUGCCCUGGAUGUGGCUAACUAUGCUAGAAUGCUGUACCUAAAAGACAACUUCUAGUUGUUACCACACACUUUUAAAUUUAAGCAGACACACUUAUCCAGAGUGACUUACAGUAGGGAGUGCAUACAUUUUUCAUCAUUUUUCUAAACUGGUCCCCGGUGGUAAUCGAACCCACAACCCUGGAGUUGCAAGCACCAUGCUCUACCAACUAGGCAUUGACACAAAUGUUCUCCAUAAAAACAAAAAGAGAAAAAAAAAACUAAAAGGUUGACAGUAGAGAAACAGAUUGCACAUCGCCCAUAGAUAAACAGGUAUGGAGACAAUAUGACUACAGGCUAUGUAUUUCUCUACUUCAAUAAACAUAUAUCCAGGGACACAAAACUGUUGAAAUACAAUGACACGCCAGUUCAAUACAACUUCUGGUGUCCGAAGUCCUGUAAACUGCACCUGUUGUUGUCUCCCUCCAAUACCAGAGCUAUGAGGACCACAGCCAAGUACGAUCCUAGGACACAGGUGGAUGGGACACACACACUGGUUAUUUUGUAUUUGUAAUCAAAAUAAAUACACUGACUUGUAUAAAAACAUAAAUAUAUUGGAAACUAAACCUUGCACCAUUUUUGGUUUUCUUCAGCAACUCAGCCAUGAUUCAUAGAGUUAAACGACUUGAGUGUCAAUGAGGAUUCACUAGUAGCUAUCCUGUCACGGUCUGCACUCUGAUUAAAAAAGGAUUGUGGAUGUGAUUGGUUGCGUGACCAGCAGGGCUAUUGUGAUCAGAUUGCAGAUACACUUAAAAAACUAGACGAUUGCUUCUCCGAUUACUUUUGAAUUCAGAAGAGAUGUUUCUGGGGGGAAAAAGGUGCAUUGUGGCACCUUUCUGUUUUCUUGGUGGCAUUCGGUUUGGCUUUGAAAACGGUGCCAGUUUGGGUCUGUUCCACCUGACCUUUGGAACUGCGGGUAAGGGACCACUGUGAUGACACGCCAGGUUUGUUUGCUGGAUCCUUUUUGUCUUCUUCUGGGGCCUCUUGGGGGGAGGUGAAAGUGUACAUUUGUGUGGUACUGAUCCUGUGACUAUUAGUACUGUUUUGGAAGGAGGUCAUAGCCCCCCCCCCCCCUUUGCAACUACCGUUCUCUUACUAACUAUAUUAUUUACGUAUUUAUUUAUUUUAUUUAGGUAUUGUAUGUCUCGUUUUGCUCUAUAUGGAAAGAACACAUUUAAUUAUUUGUAAUGAACAUCUACAUCUUUGAAAAUUACAAUGGAAACAUUGAAAAGAAUGUGGGGCACUCUCUUUCAGUGUUAGCUUGUGAUGUUAUUUAUCAAAUCUAUCCAACCUAUAUUGAUUGUGACUUAUGUCUUUGACAGGUCAGAGACCCCAAGACUGCUGGUGAUGCCAGGAGUGAUGGUAGGAGAUACGGGGGGAAAACUGGGUGAGAACGGACUGGACAAUGAACAGGUUCAAUACCAUUUGUUUUUAUAGAAAAUAAAAUGAUGCCUUUCAUCACACCAUCCUAUUCUUUGGCAUUCAGUCUAAAUGAGAAACAUUUGUGUUAUUAUAUUACUAAACACUCAUUCAUUGUGAACGUCUAUUUGCGCCCCUACUGGAUGGAAAUUACAAAUGUAAUGGAUGUGCUCAAUACAAUGGCACUUAUAAAUGUAGAUCCUUCAAACACCCACAAAUAGGGAAAUCGGUCCCAAUCAAAGGUGUUAUUACCUGCUCCACCAAGGCAGUUAUUUAUCUUAUAACUUGUCCUUGUGGUAAAAAAAUAUGUAGGUAAAACAAAGCGUGAAUUAAAAGUACGUAUCUCAGAGCAUCGUAGCACCAUUAGGUGUAAACAUUUUACUUAUCCAGUUGCGGCCCACUUCUUGGAGGCAGGCAACUCGAUUUCGUCUGCGUUAUAUUGGCAUCGAACAUGUCACCCUCCCUAGGAGAGGGGGUGACCUUGAUAUUUUAUUGUUAAAACGAGAGGCUGCCUGGAUCUUUAACUUAAAGACCCUUGCGCCCUUCAUCUCAACUUAGACUUUGAUUUGAAGCCAUUCUUGUGAUUAUUGUGACUUUGCCAUUGUAAUUGUUUGUAAACUUGUGUAGUCAAAUUAAUCUAUGAUCGUAUGCUAACCAUUUGUUGUUUGUAUGCUGUUCUUUGUAUGACAUUUUAAUAUUUGAUAAUUAACCAAUGAUAUUAGGACACUCUUGGCCAUGAUUACAGACACCUGUGUCUUUUGACACUACAUGAACAAGUUUGCGAUUAUACCCUGAUGAAGACAGCUUGGCUGUCGAAACGUUGGUAAUUACAUUUUUGCAUCUGA